rnacentral:rRNA from 1 species
UACAGAGGGUGCAAGCGUUGUUCGGAAUUAUUGGGCGUAAAGGGCGCGUAGGCGGCCUGGCAAGUGGAAGGUGAAAUCCCUCGGCUUAACCGAGGAACUGCCCUCCAAACUGCUUGGCUUGAGUCCGGGAGAGGUGAGUGGAAUUCCCAGUGUAGCGGUGAAAUGCGUAGAUAUUGGGAGGAACACCAGUGGCGAAGGCGGCUCACUGGACCGGAACUGACGCUGAGGCGCGAAAGCGUGGGGAGCAAACGGG